AUAAAAACUAACGCCAAGCCCAGUUCUCUCCUUCAUCUCCCAUCUUGUUUCCUCUUCUUCUCUUCAUCCUCGCUCAAUGCCAUCCCAUCGAUGUAAAGGCCGAAGCCAAUAAUUCGGUCAUUGGAUCUGAGGAAGAACGUGUAUAUGGUGUUGAAGAAGUGUGAGCCCUUCACCAUGGUCACCUCCUUGGACUCGACCUUGGCCGCGAUGGUCGCCGCCCAUUUCCUCAUCUCCGCAUGUGCAGGUAUCCUGAUCCUUUCAGCGCCUCUCUCUCUGUUGCGGUCACCAAGAUGAAGUUCAACAUCGCCAGCCCCGCCACUGGUUGCCAUAAGAAGAUGGUGAUCGAUGUCAACUACUGUCAAAUUCUGCAAGUCAUUAUCUGUACAUCUGAUCAGGCAACUCUAUUGUUUUCCUUCCAUGUCACAAUUGAUCUUUUGGGUUAAUUAAUUUGCUCCUUGCAAUGUUUAUUCAAGUGUCUGUUAUGAUGUAGAUUGUUGAAGACAUCUUUUGUUAUGAACUUUGAUCAUAUGAAAGCCUGGGUCGUAACUCCUCGGCGUUGUGCUUCUGCAAAUUGGAUUUCGAGAUGGAUUUGAAGGUGGAAAUUGGAGAUGGAAUUGCAACUGGGUUUUCAACACAAUAGAGCUUCCCAACAUCUGAAGCUUUCAAUAAGCUUUAUGCUCUCAUUCCGUGAAAACAAAUUGGGUCAGAAAAGUCCCCACUUUAUUCUUGUUUCUGCUUCAUGAUCCAAGAACACAGGUCCUGACACCCUCCUCUGGUGUUUCGCAGCGGUUUUGACAAGAGUAUUAGCCAAGGCUUGUGGUGGUGCACAUUGGCAGGGACUGACACCAAACCUUCACAAAUAGCUAGGCAAGGUUUAGAGGGGGCCAAAAAGAAGAACAUAGAUGUAGUAAUAAUGGAUACUGCUGGAAGGCUUCAGACAAAGUACUGAUAGAUGAGUUGAAAGAAGUAAAGCGGGAAUUGAACCCCAUAGAAACUUUACUCGUUGUGGAUGCAAUGACUGGCCAGGAAGCUGCAACCCUGGUCACAACAUUCAAUGUAGAGAUUGGGAUUGCUGGCACUAUUUUAACAAAGCUGGAUGGAGAUUCUAGAGGUGGAGCAGCUUAGAGUGUUAAAGAGGUGUAAAGCAAGGACAGCAGCUGCAGUCAAAGUUCCAGAGUUUCAAUUUGAGGUGAGAAGGAAUUAUAGAGACCACAUACCUUCAAGAAGAAGUCAAUGAAGUCCAUGAUGGGAAGAAUUCGUUAGCGAUAAGUAUCUUUAGACUUAAUUUUACAAUGUGGAUCUUCAUCAAUUCUGUGAUUUAACUCUGUACCUAGUGAAACUUCUUUAAUUUGUAGCAAAAUUUACCUUUUCCAUUACAAGUACCUUUAGACUUUGACUUUUGCAAUGUGGAUCUUCAGUUUUAUACUCUCUAUUAAUA